rnacentral:rRNA from 1 species
AGCAGCCGCGGUAAUUCCAGCUCCAAUAGCGUAUAUUAAAGUUGUUGCAGUUAAAAAGCUCGUAGUUGAAUUUCGGGGUUAGUAGGUUGGUCAUGCCCCUGGUAUGUACUGGUCUCACUGACUCCUCCUUCCUGAUGAACCGUAAUGCCAUUAAUUUGGUGUUGCGGGGAAUUUGGACUGUUACUUUGAAAAAAUUAGAGUGUUUAAAGCAAGCUAACGCUUGAAUACAUUAGCAUGGAAUAAUGAAAUAGGACGUUCGAUCCUAUUUUGUUGGUUUCUAGGAUUGACGUAAUGAUUAAUAGGGAUAGUUGGGGCAUUAGUAUUCAAUUGUCAGAGGUGAAAUUCUUGGAUUUAUUGAAGACUAACUACUGCGAAAGCAUUUGCCAAGGAUGCUUUCAUUAAUCAAGAACGAAAGUUAGGGGAUUGAAGACGAUCAGAUACCGUCGUAGUCUUAACCAUAAACUAUGCCGACUAGGGAUCGGAUGAUGUUAAUUUUUAAUGACUCAUUCGGCGCCUUAAC